AUUGAACGCUGGCGGCAUGCCUUACACAUGCAAGUCGAACGGUAACGGGCCUUCGGGUGCCGACGAGUGGCGAACGGGUGAGUAAUGUAUCGGAACGUACCUUUCAGUGGGGGAUAACGUAGCGAAAGUUACGCUAAUACCGCAUAUUCUGUGAGCAGGAAAGCAGGGGAUCGCAAGACCUUGCGCUGAUUGAGCGGCCGAUAUCAGAUUAGCUAGUUGGUGAGGUAAAGGCUCACCAAGGCGACGAUCUGUAGCGGGUCUGAGAGGAUGAUCCGCCACACUGGAACUGAGACACGGUCCAGACUCCUACGGGAGGCAGCAGUGGGGAAUUUUGGACAAUGGGCGCAAGCCUGAUCCAGCAAUGCCGCGUGCAGGAUGAAGGCCUUCGGGUUGUAAACUGCUUUUGUACGGAACGAAACGGUGAGCUCUAAUAAAGACUUGCUAAUGACGGUACCGUAAGAAUAAGCACCGGCUAACUACGU
rnacentral:rRNA from 1 species